GCAGCAAUGUAGCAUAGUGGUAAGGCGUAGUGCUCAUAACCAAAAGGUUGCUGGUUCGAUUCCUCUCUGGGGCA